GCAAAGGGAUUCAGAUUCUGAACCCACUCUUUUGGAAACUGAAUUCCAGAGGCUGCCAAACUACAUUAAUUUGAGGACACAAAAAACAGGAAAAAGCGAGGAGAACAAGACAAAAAAUCGCUAUUCCGCUGCUGUUCCAUAUGAUUACAACCGAGUGCUCAUAAAUUUCAAGGAGGAGAGCAGCCAUGAAUGUGAACAAAAUGAAGAUGAUAUUUACCAAACUGUUGAAGAUAAUGAAGAAUACGUUGAUGUCUCCUACACAGAAAACACAUACUCCAAUACCUCCUACACAGAUGGAAAUUUAUUUAACAAAAAUAACCAACCUCAGGAAAAUACCAGUGGACUACCUAGCUACAGAAACUGGAGGUCACAAAACACCAGAAA